rnacentral:rRNA from 1 species
UUGCGUAGGUGGUUUGUUAAGUGAAUGGUGAAAUCUGGUGGCUCAACCACACAGAUUAUUAUUCAAACUGGCAAACUCGAGAGUAGCAGAGGUAACUGGAAUUUCUAGUGUAGGAGUAAAAUCCGUAGAUAUUAGAAGGAACACCAAUGGCGUAGGCAGGUUACUGGGCUAUUUCUGACACUGAAGCACGAAAGCGUGGGGAGCAAACA